rnacentral:rRNA from 1 species
UGGGGGUAAAUUAAUAAAAUAAUAUAAUAAUAAAAAAAGUUUUAAUUAAAUAUUUAAUGGGGGUUAAAGUAUUUAUUUAGAAAAAAUUUUUAUAUUUAUAGUGAAUUAGUAUUGUGAAAGAAUUUUGAAAAAUUUUGAAAAUAAAUUAAUUAAAAAGUAAAUUUAAUUUAUUAUAUCUUGUGUAUCAGAGUUUAUUUAAUAAAUAUUUUUUUAUUAAAAAUAUCUCGAAUUUAAAAGAGAUAAUUAAUUAAUAAAGUUAAUGUUGAAUAAUUAUUUUUAAUAAUUAAUUUGAAAUGAAAUGUUAAUCGUUUUUAAAUAUAUCUAGUUUUUUUAGAAAAAAAUUUAAUUUUAAAUUAAUUUUAUUUAUAAUUAAUUUUUAAAUUAAUAAAAAAAAUUUAAUUAAAUAUUUUAAGGGAUAAGCUUUAAAUUAAAAUUUUAUAAUAUAAUUUAAACUUAAAAUAAAAUUUUUAAAAUUUAUAUUUUUUAUAAAUUAUAGUUUUUUAUAAAUAAUUUUAUUUUAAUUAAAAUUUAAUAUAUGGAUUUAUUUAAAUUUUUAUAAAAAAAUAUUUUAAAAUAAUAAAAAUUUAGUAAUAAUGAUAAAAUUAGUAUAUUUAUUAAAAAUAAAAUAAAAUGGAUUAAAUUUAAGAAAAAGGAAUUCGGCAAAUAUUUAUAUUCACUUGUUUAUCAAAAACAUGUCUUUUUGAGAAUAAUAUAAAGUCUAAUCUGCCCACUGAAUUAAAUUUAAAGGGCUGCAGUAUAUUGACUGUACAAAGGUAGCAUAAUCAAUAGUCUUUUAAUUGAAGACUGGUAUGAAUGAUUUGAUGAAAUAUAAACUGUCUCUUUUUUAAAAAUAGAAUUUAAUUUUUUAGUUAAAAAGCUAAAAUAUAUAUAAAAGACGAGAAGACCCUAUAGAGUUUAAUAAUUUUUUAUUUUUAAAUAAUUUAUAUAUUUUAUAAUUUAAAAAUAAAAAAUUAUUUUGUUGGGGUGAUAGAAAAAUUAAAAUAACUUUUUUUAAAAAUUAACAUUAAUAUAUGAAUAUAUGAUCCAUAAUUUAUGAUUAAAAGAAUAAAUUACCUUAGGGAUAACAGCGUAAUUUUUUUUUUUAGUUCGUAUAAAAAAAAGAGUUUGCGACCUCGAUGUUGGAUUAAGAUAAAAUUUAAAUGCAAAAGUUUAAAAUUUUUGAUCUGUUCGAUCAUUAAAAUCUUACAUGAUCUGAGUUCAAACCGGUGUAAGCCAGGUUGGUUUCUAUCUUUAUAGUAAUAAAAUAAUUUAGUACGAAAGGAUCAGUUAUUUUAAAUAAUUUAAUUAUUAAGAAUAUUAAUAAAAUUAAUUU